rnacentral:rRNA from 1 species
GACGAACGCUGGCGGCGUGCUUAACACAUGCAAGUCGAACGGAAAGGCCCUGCUUUUGUGGGGUGCUCGAGUGGCGAACGGGUGAGUAACACGUGAGUAACCUGCCCUUGACUUUGGGAUAACUUCAGGAAACUGGGGCUAAUACCGGAUAGGAGCUCCUGCUGCAUGGUGGGGGUUGGAAAGUUUCGGCGGUUGGGGAUGGACUCGCGGCUUAUCAGCUUGUUGGUGGGGUAGUGGCUUACCAAGGCUUUGACGGGUAGCCGGCCUGAGAGGGUGGCCGGCCACAUUGGGACUGAGAUACGGCCCAGACUCCUACGGGAGGCAGCAGUGGGGAAUAUUGCACAAUGGGCGGAAGCCUGAUGCAGCAACGCCGCGUGCGGGAUGACGGCCUUCGGGUUGUAAACCGCUUUCGCCUGUGACGAAGCGUGAGUGACGGUAAUGGGUAAAGAAGCACCGGCUAACUACGUGCCAGCAGCCGCGGUGAUACGUAGGGUGCGAGCGUUGUCCGGAUUUAUUGGGCGUAAAGGGCUCGUAGGUGGUUGAUCGCGUCGGAAGUGUAAUCUUGGGGCUUAACCCUGAGCGUGCUUUCGAUACGGGUUGACUUGAGGAAGGUAGGGGAGAAUGGAAUUCCUGGUGGAGCGGUGGAAUGCGCAGAUAUCAGGAGGAACACCAGUGGCGAAGGCGGUUCUCUGGGCCUUUCCUGACGCUGAGGAGCGAAAGCGUGGGGAGCGAACAGGCUUAGAUACCCUGGUAGUCCACGCUGUAAACGGUGGGUACUAGGUGUGGGGUCCAUUCCACGGGUUCCGUGCCGUAGCUAACGCUUUAAGUACCCCGCCUGGGGAGUACGGCCGCAAGGCUAAAACUCAAAGGAAUUGACGGGGCCCCGCACAAGCGGCGGAGCAUGCGGAUUAAUUCGAUGCAACGCGUAGAACCUUACCUGGGUUUGACAUGGAUCGGGAGUGCUCAGAGAUGGGUGUGCCUCUUUUGGGGUCGGUUCACAGGUGGUGCAUGCCUGUCGUCAGCUCGUGUCGUGAGAUGUUGGGUUAAGUCCCGCAACGAGCGCAACCCUUGUUCACUGUUGCCAGCACGUUAUGGUGGGGACUCAGUGGAGACCGCCGGGGUCAACUCGGAGGAAGGUGGGGAUGACGUCAAGUCCUCAUGCCCCUUAUGUCCAGGGCUUCACGCAUGCUACAAUGGCUGGUACAGAGAGUGGCGAGCCUGUGAGGGUGAGCGAAUCUCGGAAAGCCGGUCUCAGUUCGGAUUGGGGUCUGCAACUCGACCUCAUGAAGUCGGAGUCGCUAGUAAUCGCAGAUCAGCAACGCUGCGGUGAAUACGUUCCCGGGGCU